rnacentral:sRNA from 16 species
CGUUUCCGAUCCCACCGCUUGUCCGCUCCCCGGGCACGGCAGCAAUCCCAUCGGCGUCGGUUCCGCCGACGU